rnacentral:rRNA from 1 species
UACGUAGGGGCCAAGCGUUGUCCGGAUUUAUUGGGCGUAAAGAGCUCGUAGGCGGUUGGGUAAGUCGGGUGUGAAAACUCCAGGCUCAACUUGGAGAUGCCACCCGAUACUGCUCUGACUUGAGUUCGGUAGGGGAGUGGGGAAUUCCUGGUGUAGCGGUGAAAUGCGCAGAUAUCAGGAGGAACACCGGUGGCGAAGGCGGGUCUCUGGGCCGUAACUGACGCUGAGGAGCGAAAGCAUGGGGAGCGAACAGG